ACUGACACUGAGGUGCGAAAGCGUGGGUAGCAAACGGAAUGAUACCCUGGUAGUCCACGCCGUAAACGAUGUCGACCAGCCGUUGGGUGCCUAGCGCACUUUGUGGCGAAGUUAACGCGAUAAGUCGACCGCCUGGGGAGUACGGCCGCAAGGUUAAAACUCAAAUGAAUUGACGGGGGCCCGCACAAGCGGUGGAGCAUGUGGUUUAAUUCGAUGCAACGCGAAGAACCUUACCUACUCUUGACAUCCUGCGAAUUUGGUAGAGAUACCUUAGUGCCUUCGGGAACGCAGAGACAGGUGCUGCAUGGCUGUCGUCAGCUCGUGUUGUGAAAUGUUGGGUUAAGUCCCGUAACGAGCGCAACCCUUGUCCUUAUUUGCCAGCGCGUAAUGGCGGGAACUCUAAGGAGACUGCCGGUGACAAACCGGAGGAAGGUGGGGACGACGUCAAGUCAUCAUGGCCCUUACGAGUAGGGCUACACACGUGCUACAAUGGUCGGUACAAAGGGUUGCCAACUCGCGAGAGUGAGCCAAUCCCGAAAAGCCGAUCUCAGUCCGGAUCGGAGUCUGCAACUCGACUCCGUGAAGUCGGAAUCGCUAGUAAUCGUGGAUCAGAAUGCCACGGUGAAUACGUUCCCGGGCCUUGUACACACCGCCCGUCACACCAUGGGAGUGGACUGCACCAGAAGUGGUUAGCCUAACGCAAGAGGGCGAUCACCACGGUGUGGUUCAUGACUGGGGGUGAAGUCGUAACAAGGUAACC
rnacentral:rRNA from 1 species